GAUAGGGUGGUCUAGUGGUUAGCAUGUUCACCUCACACCUCCAGGGUUGGGGGUUUGAAUCCCACCUCCGCCC